rnacentral:rRNA from 1 species
UACGUAGGGGGCAAGCGUUGUCCGGAUUUAUUGGGCGUAAAGAGCGUGUAGGCGGCCGUACAGGUCAGCUGUGAAAACUCGAGGCUCAACCUCGAGACGUCGGUUGAAACCGUACGGCUAGAGUCCGGAAGAGGAGAGUGGAAUUCCCGGUGUAGCGGUGAAAUGCGCAGAUAUCGGGAAGAACACCCGUGGCGAAGGCGGCUCACUGGCUCGUAACUGACGCUCAUGCACGACAGCGUGGGGAUCAAACAGG